UACGAAGGGGGCUAGCGUUGCUCGGAAUCACUGGGCGUAAAGGGUGCGUAGGCGGGUCUUUUAAGUCAGGGGUGAAAUCCUGGAGCUCAACUCCAGAACUGCCUUUGAUACUGAGGAUCUUGAGUCCGGGAGAGGUGAGUGGAACUGCGAGUGUAGAGGUGAAAUUCGUAGAUAUUCGCAAGAACACCAGUGGCGAAGGCGGCUCACUGGCCCGGUAACUGACGCUGAGGCACGAAAGCGUGGGGAGCAAACAGG
rnacentral:rRNA from 1 species